rnacentral:rRNA from 1 species
AUGCACGCUGGCGGCGUGCCUCAUCCCUGCAAGUCGCGCGAACAGACGAGGAGCUUGCUCCUCUGACGUUAGCGGCGGACGGGUGAGUAACACGUGGAUAACCUACCUAUAAGACUGGGAUAACUUCGGGAAACCGGAGCUAAUACCGGAUAAUAUAUUGAACCGCAUGGUUCAAUAGUGAAAGACGGUUUUGCUGUCACUUAUAGAUGGAUCCGCGCCGCAUUAGCUAGUUGGUAAGGUAACGGCUUACCAAGGCAACGAUGCGUAGCCGACCUGAGAGGGUGAUCGGCCACACUGGAACUGAGACACGGUCCAGACUCCUACGGGAGGCAGCAGUAGGGAAUCUUCCGCAAUGGGCGAAAGCUUGACGGAGCAACGCCGCGUGAGUGAUGAAGGUCUUCGGAUCGUAAAACUCUGUUAUUAGGGAAGAACAAAUGUGUAAGUAACUAUGCACGUCUUGACGGUACCUAAUCAGAAAGCCACGGCUAACUACGUG